GUCUACAGCCAUGCCACCUUGAACAAGCCCGAUGUCUGAUCUUGGAAGCUAAGUAGGGUCGGGUCUGGUUAGUACUUGGAUGGGAGACCACCUAGGAAGACUAGGUGCUGUAGGCA
rnacentral:rRNA from 1 species